UCGACGAGAAGCCUAUCUUCGGAUAGUGGAAAGUGGCGCACGGGUGAGUAACGCGUGGGAACCUGCCCUGAGGUUCGGAAUAACGAUUGGAAACGAUCGCUAAUACCGGAUGAGCCCUGAGGGGGAAAGAUUUAUCGCCUUGGGAGGGGCCCGCGUCCGAUUAGCUUGUUGGUGUGGUAACGGCGCACCAAGGCUUCGAUCGGUAGCUGGUCUGAGAGGAUGAUCAGCCACACUGGGACUGAGACACGGCCCAGACUCCUACGGGAGGCAGCAGUGGGGAAUAUUGGACAAUGGGGGCAACCCUGAUCCAGCAAUGCCGCGUGUGUGAAGAAGGCCUUAGGGUUGUAAAGCACUUUCAGUCGUGACGAUGAUGACGGUAACGACAGAAGAAGCCCCGGCUAACUCCGUGCCAGCAGCCGCGGUAAUACGGAGGGGGCAAGCGUUGUUCGGAAUUACUGGGCUUAAAGAGCACGUAGGUGGUUAGAAAAGUUGGUGGUGAAAUCCCAAGGCUUAACCUUGGAACUGCCACCAAAACUUUUUAACUAGAGUAUGAUAGAGGUAAGCGGAAUUUCUAGUGUAGAGGUGAAAUUCGUAGAUAUUAGAAAGAACACCAAUUGCGAAGGCAGCUUUCUGGAUCAUUACUGACACUGAGGUGCGAAAGCAUGGGUAGCGAAGAGGAUUAGAUACCCUCGUAGUCCAUGCUGUAAACGAUGUGUGCUAGACGUUGGAAAUUUAGUUUUCAGUGUCGCAGCAAAAGCGUUAAGCACACCGC
rnacentral:rRNA from 1 species